rnacentral:rRNA from 1 species
UACAGAGGUCCCGAGCGUUGUUCGGAUUUACUGGGCGUAAAGGGUGCGUAGGCGGUUGGGUAAGUCUCAUGUGAAAGCCCCGGGCUCAACCCGGGAACGGCAUGAGAAACUGCCUGGCUGGAGGAUUGGAGGGGGGACUGGAAUUCCCGGUGUAGCAGUGAAAUGCGUAGAUAUCGGGAGGAACGCCAGUGGCGAAGGCGAGUCCCUGGACAAUACCUGACGCUGAGGCACGAAAGCUAGGGGAGCAAACAGG